UACGAAGGGGGCUAGCGUUGCUCGGAAUCACUGGGCGUAAAGCGCACGUAGGCGGACUCUUAAGUCGGUGGUGAAAUCCUGGAGCUCAACUCCAGAACUGCCUUCGAUACUGAGAGUCUCGAGUCCGGGAGAGGUGAGUGGAACUGCGAGUGUAGAGGUGAAAUUCGUAGAUAUUCGCAAGAACACCAGUCGGCGGAAGGCGG
rnacentral:rRNA from 1 species